rnacentral:misc_RNA from 1 species
UCGUGCAACAAGGGGGCGUCCGAGGUUGUCGCUGACCCACCUAAGGUCGUGCACGCCUCGAGCGUUCUCAUUUACACAUCCAUCUCACCCUUUGUGCAUCACCGCGUGGGCCCCCCUUGCGGGGAAGGGCCUGCGUUUUAUCAUAAAACUUGAUACAGUGUAGAAUGUUUAUCUUUGCGGUCACACGCAAUCAAUA